CAGCCAACUGCUUGAGGCAGCUGCCUUAUGAUCAGAUGUUCAAAGAGCUGCUAAAAAUGGCUUCUUCAAAAAGCAGUGGCCAAAGCCUGUGAACAGUGUAGUUUUGCCCCAUAAGUGCCUCCUUUUUUGUGGCUGUCCAGAAUAUUCCUUCCUCUUGAGUCAUCUACGAGGAGUGGAUGUUGACUUCUGCCCUCGAAGUUUCAACAGAAUCACCAGAAUUGGGAGAACACACUGCCAGUCUUGUGUAACCAAUAAGCAGCAGCUGUAAGCCAGCUGGCACAAGGAGACAAGGGACGCCAAGGGAGAAGGGCAGGAAGCCGGGCUGUCGGAUGGAAUUGGGCCACCCCGACACGAGACCUCAGAACUGACAGCUCAACCACCUCCUUG
rnacentral:lncRNA from 1 species